rnacentral:tRNA from 1 species
AAAAAAUUAGUUAAUUUAAAUAAUAUUAAAAUGUCAUUUUAAAGUAACUUUAAUUAGUAUUUUUUU